UACGAAGGGGGCUAGCGUUGCUCGGAAUCACUGGGCGUAAAGGGUGCGUAGGCGGGUUUUUAAGUCGGAGGUGAAAUGCUGGGGCUCAACUCCAUGCAGUGCCUCCGAUACUUCAAGUCUUGAGUGCGGUAGGGAGAAGUGGAAUGGCUGGUGUAGCGGUGAAAUGCGUAGAUAUCAGUCGGAACACCGGUGGCGAAGGCGGCUUCUUGGGCCGUUACUGACGCUGAGGCGCGAAAGCCAGGGGAGCGAACGGG
rnacentral:rRNA from 1 species